UACGGGGGGGGGCAAGCGUUGUUCGGAAUUACUGGGCGUAAAGGGCUCGUAGGUGGUCAACUAAGUCGGACGUGAAAUCCCUCGGCUUAACCGGGAACUGCGUCUGAUACUGGAUGGCUUGAGUUUGGGAGAGGGAUGCGGAAUUCCAGGUGUAGCGGUGAAAUGCGUAGAUAUCUGGAGGAACACCGGUGGCGAAGGCGGCAUCCUGGACCAAUACUGACGCUGAGGAGCGAAAGCCAGGGAGCAAACGGG
rnacentral:rRNA from 1 species